CUGAAAUAGGGCCCAGGCAUCUAAAUGGGGCUUGUAGGAAUAGUUAUGUUAAGAUUUAUUCCGAUUCGCUCAUGACUCACUAAGUUGUGGUUAAUAGAGAGGUUAAGAAGUAGCCCUUUGUUUUGUUUUGUUUUUCUGCAGUUAACACAUCUCUUAUCUUUGAAUCUGACCAGUGUGUAAAGUGAGAAAGCUUAUUUGGCUCAGGCCUUAAUAGCCUCCACUGCCAUGUAAUUGUUUUUUGCAAUGUACACGAAAAGCAUACCAGGAUACACGAAGACAUGCAUUUCUGAAGUAUUGGGUAACUUUGAACCAAUUUCGAGUCCCUUCCUAUGGCAAAAAAUGUCAUGAAACUGACUUUUCUGUAUGUUACUGACCUUGUUUUAAAGUUUAAAUGGAAAAUUGCAUUUCCUCAGUUGCACACUGUCUGUGGGAUGAAGUUCUUGAUUUUAUGUGAGCUUGUAUUUUCAAUAAUUUCUGUGUACAAGUGAAAGAUGGGGCUUUACUUGCAGAUGUCUCUCCUUUGUCGCUGUCAACAGAAAUUACAUAGUCUUGGAAAAGUGCUUCCUAUCACCACCAGAUGGCGCUGCAUUCAUGAACCUAUUGGAAUUUACACUGUCUUCUAUAUGUAACCUCUGACUCAUUAAUAAUUCCAUAUGUGAAAAAUGGGCAAAUAAAA